AGUGAACGCUGGCGGUAGGCCUAACACAUGCAAGUCGAACGGCAGCACAGUAAGAGCUUGCUCUUACGGGUGGCGAGUGGCGGACGGGUGAGGAAUACAUCGGAAUCUACUUUUUCGUGGGGGAUAACGGAGGGAAACUUACGCUAAUACCGCAUACGACCUACGGGUGAAAGCAGGGGAUCUUCGGACCUUGCGCGAUUGAAUGAGCCGAUGUCGGAUUAGCUAGUUGGCGGGGUAAAGGCCCACCAAGGCGACGAUCCGUAGCUGGUCUGAGAGGAUGAUCAGCCACACUGGAACUGAGACACGGUCCAGACUCCUACGGGAGGCAGCAGUAGGGAAUAUUGGACAAUGGGUGCAAGCCUGAUCCAGCCAUACCGCGUGGGUGAAGAAGGCCUUCGGGUUGUAAAGCCCUUUUGUUGGGAAAGAACAGCAGCAGGUUAAUCCCCCGCUGUUCUGACGGUACCCAAAGAAUAAGCACCGGCUAACUUCGUG
rnacentral:rRNA from 1 species